rnacentral:rRNA from 1 species
ACUCCUACGGGAGGCAGCAGUGGGGAAUAUUGCACAAUGGGCGCAAGCCUGAUGCAGCAACGCCGUGUGAGUGAAGAAGGUUUUCGGUAUCGUAAAACUCUGUCCUAAGGGAAGAAACAAAUGACGGUACCUUAGGAGGAAGCCCCGGCUAACUACGUGCCAGCAGCCGCGGUAAUACGUAGGGGGCAAGCGUUAUCCGGAAUCACUGGGCGUAAAGGGUGCGUAGGCGGCUUAGCAAGCCAGGGGUGAAAGGCAUUGGCUCAACCAAUGUAAAGCCUUUGGAACUGUUAGGCUUGAGUGCAGGAGAGGUAAGUGGAAUUCCUAGUGUAGAGGUGAAAUUCGUAGAUAUUAGGAGGAACACCAGUGGCGAAGGCGACUUACUGGACUGUAACUGACGCUGAUGCACGAAAGCGUGGGUAGCGAACAGGAUUAGAUACCCCU